UUGGUUUCUUUUUUAAAAAAACAAAGUGUGGCUCUGCUAGGGUUCUUUUAACCCAUUCCGCGCCGUCGUCCGUCUGCCUCUUCACCAAAGCUCCGAUGACGGCGGAGAUGGUGGUGGCGCGGCGACCUUGACGAACAGGUAAGUAUUCUUCCCUUCUUUUCUUUGUUAUUUUACGAAAUAAUAAUGAAAAAAAAAAGAAAAAAACGUUUGCAAAUAAAAUGGACAUUGCAAAAUAAAAUAAAAAAACCACAUUUGAAAAAAAAAGUUCUAAAUCUGUAUUUUCUCUGUGCUUUUUCGUAUCUUUUUACAUUGAAAAUUCCCCCCCUUUGUUACAGAUUUCACGGCUUUAAAUAGCCGAAAUGGAAAAGAAAAGGAAAAAUAGAAUAAAAAAAUGAAAAUCUACUAUGUUUCCCUUUGCUAUUCUGUUUCGUUAGUGUUUGUUGCUAUUUUCUCGCAGGUUUGGUGGCCGUUGAAGAGGCGCGCUCGCACAGAGGGCCGUGCUGCGACAAUCGCGGAGGCGUGGGAGGGUGAGGCUGUUGCGGCGCCGUGUUCGCU
rnacentral:lncRNA from 1 species